rnacentral:tRNA from 1 species
UGCGGAGGUGGCGCAGUUGGUUAGCGGUAGGUUUCAUUUUUUUUGUAUUUUUUUUUUUUAUCCUAAGGUCGAGGGUUCGAACCCCUUUUUUGCAA